UACAGAGACCUCAAGCGUUAUCCGGAAUCAUUGGGCGUAAAGCGUACCGAUAGGUGGUUUAGAAAGUCAGAAGUGAAAUCUCUCAGCUUAACUGGGAGACUGUCUUUUGAAACUUCUAAACUAGAGGGGCAAAGAGGAAGCUGGAACGAACGGUGUAGUAGUGAAAUGCGUUGAUAUCGUUCAGAACACCAAUAGCGUAGGCAGGCUUCUGGGUGCCACCUGACACUGCUAGGACGAAAGCGUGGGGAGCGAAUGGG
rnacentral:rRNA from 1 species